CGUAGGGGGCUAGCGUUGUCCGGAUUUAUUGGGCGUAAAGAGCGUGUAGGCGGCCGGGUAAGUCCGGUGUGAAAACUCGAGGCUUAACCUCGAGAUGUCAUCGGAAACUAUUCGGCUAGAGUCCGGAAGAGGAGAGUGGAAUUCCUGGUGUAGCGGUGAAAUGCGCAGAUAUCAGGAAGAACACCCAUGGCGAAAGCAGCUCUCUGGGACGGUACUGACGCUGAGACGCGAAAGCGUGGGGAGCGAACAGGAUUAGAUACCCUGGUAGUCCACGCCGUAAACGAUGGGUGCUAGGUGUGGGCGGUGUCGACUCCGUCCGUGCCGAAGCUAACGCAUUAAGCACCCCGCUGGGGAGUACGGCCGCAAGGCUA
rnacentral:rRNA from 1 species